UGAAUAUACUUUUCAUACAUUUACAUGCUGACAGCAUGUAAGCCGGUAAGCCGGUCGAUCAUCUCUGGAUUAGCAAAUUCAUGGAGAAAAUUGAUAAUAAUUACUCGUACAUGUAUCUACUUAACAUGAAGAUAGUUGAAAAAAUACAAGAAAUGGACAGGAAUAAUACAUCAAAAGGUGAGCCUUUGACAGAAUGUCAAACUUGACUUAUUUGACUUGAGUGAGCCAGAAUAUGUCUGGGUCAAAUCACAAACAGCGAAAUGAGUAUAAAUCGGGUCCUUCUGGUCAUUGUCGGCUGCACUCUGGUGUUUGAGAAUAGCUCUUAGAUUUUUUGGUUUCACGUUACAAAAAUGUAUAGACAAAACAAAUAUACAUAAUAUGUGAACUAAACCUUUGCCCAUUAAACAUUAUUAAUUAUAAUUGUAUAUUCAACUAAACCUGAUCAUUUGAAUGAUAUCAAAACAAGUGUUAAUUGUAAUAAAUUGUUGUUGUUUGAUGUAGGGUGUCUUGCGCGGAUAGCACGGAAUGCGAUCACUGAUGCCUUGCGAUUAGAGAAGGGCGAAGUAAUAAGGCAUCGCAAACUGAAAUGGCUCCUCGAAGACAAGGUUAUCAAAGAAUUGAACAAGAAGUUGAUGGCAGAACCGCCAAAGAUCGGUAUUUUCCAGUUUCUGAGUGCUGCGGCGAACAGAUGUCUGACAAAAUUUCCUACAGAAAGCACAGAGGAUGGUGAAGAAGAUUGUUUUGCCAGCUGAACACAACCUUGUAAAAUGGUUGUACUUCCUUCUUAAAUAGUUUGCAAUCUAUGAAAAAUUACCAGCCAGUCAAAAAAUUAUAUUAUUCCUAAGGUAGGCUUAUAUCAUUGAACUUAUUAGUUAUCUAUUGAUUCUAUUAUAUGUAAAUAUAUUAUGAUUAUGUAUAAGUUUACAAGAUGUAUUUAUUCAUUAUUCAAUUAUUUUUCAAAUUUUAAUGAAUUAUGAAUAUUAAGUUAUUCAUAUUGAAAUGAAUGAUUGAAAUUACAUUAAUUCUUUCAUCCAAAAAACGUUGUACAAUACACAGAAAAAGCAUUUUAUCAUGAGACAUGUUUGUGCGACCGACCGGUUUAAAGAAUAUGUUGGACAGACAAAAUUCAAUACAAAUUUGAAAUAUAUCAAUUUAUUGAUUGAUAUUUAAGAUAAGGAUUGGAUAUUUAUUUGGAUAAUUCUAUCACAAUAAAGAAGUAACUAUUAUUGAUUAAGAUUCACAUAAUAAAUUAAUCUAUUGACAGAGGUGCCUUGAUUGAAUUAAAUAUUCUUUUCAACCCCGAUGAAGCUUCUUAUUCAAUUUGUAAUAAUUUAAACAGAGAUGCGACAUUCUUUUAGCAUCUAAAUGGAUAAGAUACUCCUUCACUUUCUAAACAAUCACUUCAGGUUUGAAAUGUCAUUUUUCUAAACAUAAGAGUUUUAUGGCGCAGCCUAUUCAAAAUAUACUUCAAUUUGUAAUUUAUGAGCUAUUAGUUUGUUGGGCAUUAUAAGGUAAGGAUAGGUGUAAAAGGUUUGUGAUUGAUGCUUGUGCUUCAUUUGCGAAUUAAAAAUUGUAGUUAUACAUUUUUAAAAGACAUUUUUUUAUCUAUUUCUAUUAUCUUAUAAAGAAUAACAGUAUAUUUUAUUGUUCAUUGGAUUUAUUGAGAAUAGUUUUUCUUCAAAGUAGAUUCAAAUGCUGAAAUAUUUUCCUAUUUGUAGCCAUAAUGUAAUAUUUAUUGAAAUAAAUUCUCGGCUCUUUUUAUACGGAACUUACUUAAUUCCUGUUGAAUACAAGUAGCCUGUAAUCAUUUCACACCAACAUUUCUCUCAAAUUUAGGUAAUGUUAUACCACUGACUCCACGAUAAAUUUCUCAAUGUUAAUCUAAGGAAAAUAUAAAGUUCGCUAUCGAAGAAAAAUAAUUUUAAUUGAGUUUCGAAUCAAUUGUAAAGAAGAGUGAAUCUAUUGAAUAAACUAUUCAUCAGUCAACUUGGACUGAAUCUUAAGGGUGAGUAGGCAAUCGCUAAAGAGAAAUAGAUCCAAUAUCUCUUGUUUCACAACUCAUUAAAGCUCUGUGAUUGUUCCAUAUAUCAGUAGCCCAACGAACAGUCAUGAAAUAAAUUACUUCAAAAAGACUUAUAAAACUAAACCCAAGAAACAAUCUCAUCAAGCCUCCAAUAUUUGCUGGAAAAAUAAAACAAAAUUUCAUUUAAAACAAUCGUUUAGCCUUCAUAUUAUAUUUCAUUGCAGAAAAAUAUCCAUGAUAAUAUAUCAAUGAUAAUAUUUUAAAUAAGCUUUUAAAAAGCAUGUAUCCUUUUAUAUCAAUAACAUUCUCUUAUAAUUUUCUAGUAAUCUUUAUCUAUUUUAUUCAGAAGUAGAGUAAUAGAAAUAAUACACUACAAUUUUACAUUAUGGGCGUAAUCUUAUAGUUUCUUAUAAAUGUAUAAUAAUGAUAAGUUUUUAUUCAUAUGAUUACCAUGUAUAAUUAAUCAUGAGAUAAUGAAAAGUUUGAUUAAUAUUCUUUCAAAGAAAUUAUGUGUACUUGAUUGUUAAGAUUUUCAUGAAUUUAUAAUCCACCAUAAUUGAAACAUGAAACUGGUCAGAUGAGUCAAUAAUUUUGUACAAAAUAGUUCUUAAACUGAGAAGAUAUCAUCUUCUUAUACUCACCAAUAAAAUCAGAUACUGUUACUAUUGCCACCCUCUGGAUAUUGAUUGAUAACUGAAUUUGUUUUGCAAAGGAAAGUCGCAACAG